GAUGAAUAACGCAGCGAAAUGCGAUAAGUAAUGUGAAUUGCAGAAUUCAGUGAAUCAUCGAAUCUUUGAACGCACCUUGCGCCCUUUGGCCAUUCCGAAGGGCAUGCCUGUUUGAGUAUCAUGAACACCUCAACUCUCAUGGCUCGCCAUGAUGAGCUUGGAUUUGGGGGUCUUGCUGGCCUGUGGUCGGCUCCUCUCAAAUGGAUCAGCUUGCCAGUGUUUGGUGGCAUCACAGGUGUGAUAACUAUCUGCGCUUGUGGUUUUCCAUCAGAUAACCUUCAGUGAUGGAGGUUCGCUGGAGCUCAUAAACGUCUCCCCUAAGCGGGGACAGCCCUUUGAAUGUUUGAUCUCAAAUCAGGUAGGACUACCCGCUGAACUUAAGCAUAUCAAUAAGCGGAGGA
rnacentral:misc_RNA from 1 species